UGAUCUCCAAAAAUUUAAAAUACUGUUUAUGUCUGUCUGUUAGUGUUACUCUAAUUUUUGUGUGUUGUUGCGAAAAAAUGAAUAAUUACAGUAAGCAAUUGGCUCAAGAUAUUUUCCUUUGCGAACCCGCAGAUGAUCGAAUAAGAAAAAAAGAGCAGGCCCUCAUGAAGAUGAAGACCCUCACCUGACGUGGACCUUAAGUGGAAAUGCAAACUAUUAGGCUUUAUCCACAUUCUCAGAAAUUUGUUUUUGAAACAUUAAGAUACCAUGGGCCAGAAUUUAAAUUGAAGAGUGCCAGUUUGUAUAAGGUUCUAUUUCUAUAACAUGAAGCAAUGUCGCAGUCAAGCUGGUAGAGUGAUGCCAGGUGUUUGCAUCCAUCUGUACACAUCUCAUAGAUACAUGUACCACAUCGGCAAGCAGCUGGUCCCGCAGAUACACACCCCACGCCCCUGGAACAGCUGCUGUUGAAGUUUAAGAUACUGCCUCUCUUUGUGGAUAUGUGCAUAAGGUUCUGGCCGCUUAAGCCCGUCUCCAAGACAUCGGAGCUCUAGACAAGCACCUGGAACUCACUGCACUAAGUAAACAUCUGGCCUUGUUGCCCGUUGACAUGAGAAAUGGGAAGAUGAUGCUGUUUGGUGCUAUAUUCUGUUGUGUUGAUUCUACACUUAGUAUGGCGGCCUUUCUAAGUCAUAAGAGCAAAAAAGUCAGCAGUUUCAUGCAGAUUUUGCGAUAAGGGUACGCCAGCCCCUGCCUCGUGUACCAGGAGAACAUGAAAAUCUAAGGGUUUUUAUUCACUCUCCCACUUCCAGGUGCCUUUGCUGUUAUGAUCGGUGUUACCCACGUAUCAUCAUCCGGAUCUACCGUGACGUGCCGGGGGUGUCUCAAUGGGAAAAUUAAGACUAUGGUGAAGCGGGGUGUAUCCACAUGCCUUCCUAACCAGGAUGUUGGGAUGGCUCGGCGCCUUGUCAAAAUCUAGUUAGACGCACAAAAAAAGCUAGCAUACUGUGGAUUCUGAUAGCGUUAUUAUAAGGUUAUAAUCUAGUGGUAGAACUGCAUAACGGGACGUUUACAAUGUCAUUAUCAGAUGGAGGGAUCAUGUUUCAACCGGAAAGCCAUGAAGUGGCAGAAAUGCUUAAACCUAUCGGACAAGAGCUGGUGAACUUAUUGCAAGAGAAAAUCAACGACACCUCCUGCUGCAGAAUUUGCUGCAUUACGAGAAAGGGAACAGGAUUAUUAAAACAAUUGUUCUAAUUAUGACUAAAAACUAGAUAAAUACACUGCGAAAUAGAAGAUGUUAACGUUGCGACUAAAUAUUUACUUUGUUAGGAACACAGCAGCUUUUCUCGAACGGCAUAUUUAUGAUAACACAGCGUCUGUGAUAAGGUCCAAACCUCAAGAUUUGCAAAGACAAAGAAUCUUAGUUCAAAACACAAGGCAAAGAAAUCGGUGUCCGGAAAACGAGGCGUUGGGUCAGAGUGUCGGCGGCGGAGAUCUGAGCCCUAAAUUCAAUGCACAGGUCAGCGAGGGUAUAGAUAAAUCGGCCUCCAGGUGAAAAAGCAGGGUCGUUAAAUAGAAAAAUCCACAAGAAAAAGCAAAAUACCACAUUCGCGUCACGUAACGUAAACGGAAUUGACAGUUAGCCAUGAUGCUACCGCUAUGUUAACGUAUGUUGACAUAGCGGCCGUCCGUUCCUCCCAUUUUCUCACCAAAAUUAAUUAAAUAUGCGAUACAAUGUGUUCUGUAAAUUCAGUUUAUCUAUUAUUUGUAAGUUUUGAAAUAAGGAAUUGCAUCAAACGUCUCGCAAAUUUGUCGCUAAUGCCAUCUAGCGAUAUAGGAAACUACCACAGAGAACUAAUCGGCCUCCAUAGAAAACGUCAAAGUAUAGAAGUGAAAAGAUAGGGUCUUUUGGAGAGAAAACAUUCAAAGUAGAAGUUAUAUCGGUUUUUAACUGAAAAAUGUAAUUAAUUUAUUAACAUAUUAUUAACUGUGAUUAUUUUGUUAAACUUGCUGUUCAAUACUAUUAGUUUAAGCUUCUAAAAUUAUAAUUCGUUUCUCUGGUUAGCUUGC